CCUGUCAUCUGGUUUUGAUUCUAUCUU
rnacentral:sRNA from 1 species